rnacentral:rRNA from 1 species
UACGUAGGGGGCAAGCGUUGUCCGGAAUCAUUGGGCGUAAAGCGCGUGUAGGCGGCCCGGUAAGUCCGCUGUGAAAGUCGGGGGCUCAACCCUCGAAUGCCGGUGGAUACUGUCGGGCUAGAGUGCGGGAGAGGCGAGUGGAAUUCCUGGUGUAGCGGUGAAAUGCGCAGAUAUCAGGAGGAACACCAAUUGCGAAGGCAGCUCGCUGGAACGUAACUGACGCUGAGAACGCGAAAGCGUGGGGAGCAAACAGG